AAUCCUUCAGCAUGUGAUAGACUACAUUCUGGACCUGCAGUUAGCGCUGGAGACUCACCCUGCUCUGCUUAAACAGCAACACGGGACAUGCCCGUCCGGCUCAAACAGGACACCAUUGACGGCUCUCAACACUGAACAGGUGUGCAGAAAGCCGAUCCAAAGCCUGCUAUGCCUCGUGAUGGAAUCGGGAGGCAGUCACAGGAGAUUGCAAACCGCUACUGCUAAUGAAAAAAUAAUAAACCGUACUAGUUACUAAAGAUAAAACAAUAGUAAGAACCAAAUCAAAAACACAUCUACGUCAGCGGCUAGUAGCCUUCUACUUUUGCCUAUUUUCAGAGAAGCGUAAUUGGAACUCAGAAGGCUCCGGUGUUGGAAAGCACUUCGUUUGCUAAGGCGUGUUGGAAGCUGUCAUUUGAUUGGCAUUCAAGACUAGUUGAUUUUUUCUUCAUUAAAUUUACUAAAGAUCAGAUUUUAAAGCUUUACUAAAAAGUAAAAUAAUUGUUCGUUCUGGCAUCUAUUGUUUAAAAUAGGUGAUUUGUGUUGAACAGGGAUUUCCCUGUGAUGAACUGUUUAAUAUUGUAAAGAGGCAUAAUGACUCAUGACAAUUAAUCUUGUAUAUAUAGAGACAGAUGUUCUAUAAAUGUACGUGGAAGAAAAUAUCUAUAUGCUCAAAUAGACUAUUGUAAUUAUAAGAUAUUUUUAUUAAAACCCUUUGUUAUGUAAAUAUUGCAUUUUCACUUUUAAGUGUAGUGGAUGAAUACAUUAUGUUCUGCUAAUAAAGUCUUCACAUUAUAUCAGUUUAUUUUUUUUGUGAUUUUAUAAUUUAAAUAGUAAAUAAGCAUGGAGCAUGCAAGGCUUGACAGAAAGAUGAAAAUGUAGGUUGUGCACAGAACUAGCUUAUGUAUUUUUUCAAUGUGAAAAAUAACCUUCCAUACCCUAUGUUUUACUCUCAUCCAGGGGAGAAAAUAAGAUGUAUUUUGUGCAUCGCAACAAAACAUCCUUGAUGCACAAAGCUGUGCAUUGCCUUGGCAUUAAACCGGCCACUGCAAGGGAAACACCUUCUUAAUAUUCUGUUAAAAUUUGCACAUUUCCUCAUGUCGCCUCAUUCUUUUUUAUAGAAUCAUUUUAUUGCAGUUUUUUUUGUCAAGAUAGUUUUUUUCAUUAUAUUUUUUGACCUGUACAUUGGAGAGCCUGUAGACUGUGUAUAAGAAAAUCAAUAAUGUGGUGAAAAGUGUCUUUGACAAUUGGUAUAUUUUGAGGUCACAAUAGGCAAUGUAUUGUAGUUGCUUUCUUUAUCUUUAAAACCUGGUGGCUCACCAUUAUGUUACAGACUGUUUUGGGGUGUUUCAAAACUGCUCUGUUGUGAAAUGCCAGGGAGGUGAACAAUGUCAGAUGUUACCUACAGUAAAAAAAAAAAAAAAAGUAUUUGAAAAGUAGGCGGUGUUUUCCUUCAUAAAAUAAACACACUGAAGUUUGAUCCCUGGAACAUAUUAGGAGGAACCGAACGUGUCAGAUCUGAAUGUGAAAAAGCCUUGCUUCAAAGCUAUUUUUUAUCAUGAUGUCAUGAGUGGGAGUCUUAAAUUGCCAUGAUUCACUUUUGGUCGAUGCACAGCCUGUAGAAGACCCAUAACAUGUAUUUGUCUGUGCACUGUCUGUAUUGAAAAUGACCUUCGCUCAAGUCGGCUGUGGAUUGCUUACAGUUGUCAAAACAUUAAACGGUCAUGUUUACAGUUA